GAUGAACGCUGGCGGCGUGCCUAAUACAUGCAAGUCGAGCGAACAGACGAGGAGCUUGCUCCUCUGACGUUAGCGGCGGACGGGUGAGUAACACGUGGAUAACCUACCUAUAAGACUGGGAUAACUUCGGGAAACCGGAGCUAAUACCGGAUAAUAUAUUGAACCGCAUGGUUCAAUAGUGAAAGACGGUUUUGCUGUCACUUAUAGAUGGAUCCGCGCCGCAUUAGCUAGUUGGUAAGGUAACGGCUUACCAAGGCAACGAUGCGUAGCCGACCUGAGAGGGUAAUCGGCCACACUGGAACUGGGACAGGGUCCAAACUCCUACGGGAGGCAGCAGUAGGAAAUCUUGCGCAAUGGGCGAAGGCCUGACGAGGCAACGCCGCGUGGGUAAUGAGGGUCUUCGGAUCGUAAAACUCUGUUAUUAGGGAAGAACAAAUGUGGAAGUAACUAUGCACGUCUGGACGGUACCUAAUCAGAAAGCCACGGCUAACUACGU
rnacentral:rRNA from 1 species